rnacentral:rRNA from 1 species
GUGUCAGCCGCCGCGGUAAUACGUAGGGUGCGAGCGUUAAUCGGAAUUACUGGGCGUAAAGUGUGCGCAGGCGGCCGAGCAAGUCGAGUGUGAAAGCCCCGAGCUUAACUUGGGAAUUGCGCUCGAAACUACUUGGCUGGAGUGUGGCAGAGGAAGGUGGAAUUCCAGGUGUAGCGGUGAAAUGCGUAGAGAUCUGGAGGAACACCGAUGGCGAAGGCAGCCUUCUGGGCCAACACUGACGCUCAUGCACGAAAGCGUGGGGAGCAAACAGGAUUAGAAACCCGCGUAGUCC